UACGUAGGUGGCAAGCGUUGUCCGGAUUUAUUGGGUUUAAAGGGUGCGUAGGCGGUUCCAUAAGUCAGUGGUGAAAUACAAUAGCUUAACUAUUGAGGUGCCAUUGAUACUGCGGAACUUGAGUACAGACGAGGUAGGCGGAAUUGACGGUGUAGCGGUGAAAUGCUUAGAUAUCGUCAAGAACACCGAUAGCGAAGGCAGCUUACUAGACUGUAACUGACGCUGAGGCACGAAAGUGUGGGGGAUCAAACAGG
rnacentral:rRNA from 1 species